CUGGCGGCAGGCCUAAUACAUGCAAGUCGAGCGCGCCCUUCGGGGUGAGCGGCGGACGGGUGAGUAACGCGUGGGAAUAUGCCCUUCUCUAAGGAAUAGCCUCUGGAAACGGAGAGUAAUACCUUAUACGCCCUUUGGGGGAAAGAUUUAUCGGAGAAGGAUUAGCCCGCGUUAGAUUAGGUAGUUGGUGGGGUAAUGGCCUACCAAGCCUACGAUCUAUAGCUGGUUUGAGAGGAUGAUCAGCCACACUGGGACUGAGACACGGCCCAGACUCCUACGGGAGGCAGCAGUAGGGAAUCUUAGACAAUGGGGGCAACCCUGAUCUAGCCAUGCCGCGUGUGUGAUGAAGGCCCUAGGGUCGUAAAGCACUUUCGCCAGAGAUGAUAAUGACAGUAUCUGGUAAAGAAACCCCGGCUAACUCCGUGCCAGCAGCCGCGGUAAUACGGAGGGGGUUAGCGUUGUUCGGAAUUACUGGGCGUAAAGCGCACGUAGGCGGAUUAGUAAGUUAGAGGUGAAAUCCCAGGGCUCAACCCUGGAACUGCCUUUAAUACUGCUAGUCUUGAGUUCGAGAGAGGUAAGUGGAAUUCCGAGUGUAGAGUGAAAUU
rnacentral:rRNA from 1 species